CUGGUAGUGGGGGAUAACGUUCGGAAACGGACGCUAAUACCGCAUACGUCCUACGGGAGAAAGCAGGGGACCUUCGGGCCUUGCGCUAUCAGAUGAGCCUAGGUCGGAUUAGCUAGUUGGUGAGGUAAUGGCUCACCAAGGCUACGAUCCGUAACUGGUCUGAGAGGAUGAUCAGUCACACUGGAACGGAGACACGGUCCAGACUCGUAGGGGAGGCAGCAGUGGGGAAUAUUGGACAAUGGGCGAAAGCCUGAU
rnacentral:rRNA from 1 species